rnacentral:rRNA from 1 species
GCCGAACCGUACGAACGUUAUUCGGAAUUACUGGGCUUAAAGCGUGCGUAGGCGGCGCGGUAAGUUGGAUGUGAAAUCCCUCGGCUCAACCGAGGAACUGCGUCCAAAACUGCCGUGCUCGAGGAAGAUAGAGGUGAGCGGAACUCACGGUGGAGCGGUGAAAUGCGUUGAUAUCGUGAGGAACACCCGUGGCGAAAGCGGCUCACUGGGUCUUUUCUGACGCUGAGGCACGAAAGCUAGGGGAGCAAACGGG